UUACUCCCUCUCCGUCGAAACCCUUCCUCUCUACCAAAACCUUCCGCGCUCCGCCUCCCUCUCUGCCUCCGUGCUCUUCCUCCCUCUCUACCUCCAUGCUUCGCCUUCAUCUCUGCCGUACUCUGCCUUCCUUGCUUCGCUCAUCAUUGCCCAAAUUCACCGUAGGAUAGCUACACCCUCGCACUCCACAAGGCCCUUAUGUUCUUCAAUGCCUAGCGAUGCGAGUCCUCAUAGAUGGCCUCUUCGGGAAAAAAGGUUUUGACGGUAUAAAAAAUGUUCCUUUGCCCCUGAUUUCUUUUGUAGCAAGGUCGAUUCCCAAACACAACAAUGUAUUGUGGAGGGGGAACUUUGGCUUGAGGGAUGACUUCUCCAAUCAUUCGUAUGGGAAGAGUCUCAUCUGUGGAUUCUACGAUGCCAGUGACGCCAUCCAAGGUCGGACCUUUUAUGAGGCAGAGGACAUGGAGGAUGUGGCUAAGGCAGUGGCGAAGUUCUCAACCAGAGGUGGUGGGCGAGCAUGCUAAGCAAACAGAGAAACCAAGGGAAAGUGCAGAAGAUGGAGGAGAAGAAAGAAAUGUUAAAGUUUAACAAGAGGCAUGCGGAGGGGAGGGACAAGACCGAUAAAUAGAAGAACUUUCAACUAAAGAUCCAGAAAUUGAAUCCUGUUAACACAAUUUGCUACGUUCAAAUCUUUGGAAUUGACAUGGACACACAAGAUACUUUGCCAUCAGUUUUGUUGUUUUUUGACUGACAAAGGUUCCAUCUUCAAUGCUGGAGGUGAUAAUGAUAACAAUUAAAAAAGGAUACUUCUACUUAGAAGUUGGGGGCAUCAAGCCGAUCAGACUUUAAUUGUAAAAGAACGGAAGGUU